rnacentral:rRNA from 1 species
AGUAGCCACGGGAAUACGUAGGUGGCAAGCGUUGUCCGGAAUGAUUGGGCGUAAAGGGCGCGCAGGCGGCUGUGUAAGUCUGUCUAGAAAGUGCGGGGCUAAACCCCGUGAGAGGAUGGAAACUGGACAGCUGAGAGUGUCGGAGAGGAAAGCGGAAUUCCUAGUGUAGCGGUGAAAUGCGUAGAUAUUAGGAGGAACACCGGUGGCGAAAGCGGCUUUCUGGACGACAACUGACGCUGAGGCGCGAAAGCCAGGGGAGCAAACGGGAUUAGAUACCCCAGUAGUCCCUGUCUCUUAUACA